UACGGAGGGUGCAAGCGUUAUCCGGAUUUACUGGGUUUAAAGGGUGCGCAGGCGGAUAUGUAAGUCAGUGGUGAAAUCUCUAGGCUUAACCUGGGAAUUGCCGUUGAUACUAUAUAUCUUGAAUGCUGUGGAGGUAAGCGGAAUAUGUCAUGUAGCGGUGAAAUGCUUAGAUAUGACAUAGAACACCUAUUGCGAAGGCAGCUUACUACGCAGAUAUUGACGCUCAUGCACGAAAGCGUGGGGAUCAAACAGG
rnacentral:rRNA from 1 species